rnacentral:tRNA from 1 species
GGGCGGUUAGCUCAGUUGGUUAGAGUGUCUGCGUGACAUGCAGAAGGUCGCUGGUUCAAGUCCAGUACCGCCCACGA